ensembl:lncRNA
GUUAGCAUCCAAAAGGAGGACAUUACCUGGGCAAAGGCCCCUUCCUGAGAAGGAGUGUUCUAUAGCCAGAAGAUUCUCAUCACCAGUUUGGGUAGCAAGGAGAAGUAAAUAAAAAGACUGAUACAGAAGAGAAGUGAGAGGAAAACCACACAGGAUCUCAGCAAAAGGGAAACUUAUAUGAAUCUUAAAAUGAAGCUCCAGAUGUGUCCGUUGAUUGAGUGACAUAUAUCUGAAGAGAGCCAGAAAUUCACUGAUUAUGUACUGAUCCAGAAAGCCCUUUGAAACUAGGAAGAAAAAAAAAGAAAAAGAGAUAAAAACUUACUUUUGCCCUUUACAAUCUUUUUCCUGGCUAUUUCCACCUGUGUUUUGUAUGCUUCCUUUUAGGCUGAUUUUCUACAGCUGAAAAAGUUCAGAUGAAAAUCAAGAGAUUGCUUAGCAAGCACCUUGCAGAAAGCUCAGCUAAGAUCAGUGGAUUUGGUUUUCUUAUCUGUUGUGUUGUUGAUACAUGAAACUAAUGCUGAGGUUACUUAGAAGUCUAUACAAAUCUUUUUUGUGAGUUGUGUAAAAAGGGUAGAGGGUGUAGGCUAGUGAAUAUAUACAGUGGUUUUCUUGUGCUGUAUGGAUUUGUGUAGCUGUGAUCUAACAACUUGUCAUCAGUUUGAGCUUAUUGUAUGCUCCUGUCCCUGGGGUACCUGUAGGUGGUUUUUGGACUCUGGAAUUCACUGGAACAGUUACAGUGGUUUCCCUCUUUCAUCUCACUGAUGUUGCUCCUUUCAAGGUUUCAUCAGGCCUCUGGUACUCAUCUCUGAUGAGUUGUGGAAAGCAGAGGACCUUAAAGAAAUGAUUCAGAUCUGUAUGUUGCACCCAAGUUUAUUGAGGAUUUGGCUUUCAUGACUGAAUCCCUUAUAUCCUCUCAUACUUUCUUCUAACGUGCUCAUUUCCUGAUGCCUUUCUUGAUGGAAGUAAAAGAACUAUAUACUACCUGCCAACCGAUCUAAUAAAGCAGAACAUUUC